rnacentral:ribozyme from 13 species
UGUUUUUUUUUUUUUUUUUUUUUUUUUUUUUUCUUG